rnacentral:rRNA from 1 species
UACGAAGGGGGCUAGCGCUGCUCGGAAUUACUGGGCGUAAAGGGCGCGUAGGCGGAUGUUUAAGUCGGGGGUGAAAGCCCGGGGCUCAACCUCGGAAUUGCCUUCGAUACUGGACAUCUUGAGUACGGGAGAGGUGAGUGGAACUCCGAGUGUAGAGGUGAAAUUCGUAGAUAUUCGGAAGAACGCCAGUGGCGAAGGCGACUCACUGGCCCGUUACUGACGCUGAGGCGCGAAAGCGUGGGGAGCAAACAGG